rnacentral:lncRNA from 1 species
UUUUUUUUUUUUUUCAGACGGAGUUUCACUCUUAUUGCCCAGGCUGGAGUGCAAUGGUGCAAUCUUGGCUCACCAAAACCUCCACCUCCCAGGUUCAAAUGAUUCUCCCGACUCAGCCUCCUAGGUAGCUGAGAUUAUAGGUGUGCACCACAAUGCCCAGCUAAUUUUGUAUUUUUAGUAGAGACAAGGUUUCACCAUGUUGGCAAGUUUGGUCUUGAACUCCUGACCUCAAGUGAUCUGCCCGCCCUGGCCUCCCAAAGUGCUGAGAUUAGAGGCGUGAGCACCUGGCCAAAACCAUCCUCUGUAGGGGUUAUAGUUGAGAGGUGGGGCAGGUUCUAAGAGUUCCAAGAAUGUACACACGCACGUGCACACUCACAGAGAAGAACUUCUUUUGACUCAGAACAAAGUCUCUAGGGGUGGCCGUGGGCCAGAGUGCUUCUGGAUGGAGAGAGAGAGAGAAUGGGGGUGGGGACACUGAGGACAUUGAGUUACUGACCUAUGAGACAUAGAGGAUGAGGGAGGAACAGUGAUUCCUGGAGACUGCCUAGAUGCUGCCUUCCCUAGGACAUCUACUGUGACCCUGGGUCUUCUCCUCCACCAGGACUGGCCAGUUGCCCAGCCUUGGGGUUUCCAUGGCAUGCUGCAUGGACACCCAUGACAGCAAACUAUCCCCUGGUGGUCUGAGGGCUCCUCAAGGACUCCCUUGCUACUGUAUCCCUAACCCCCCAGCCAUGUGCUAUGUACUUAGAAGGUGUUGGUGGAAGACACUUGCCCUUGUUCACUCCAUCCUCCAUAGACACAGAAGUUUUAACGAUGCCCCCGGAUGCUGAGAAUGAGAACUGCAUUUAUCUGCCUUCUUUGCAGUGAGGUGUGGCCACCUGCACCAGUGGGAAUGGGAGGGAAUCGAUAGGAGUAAGUUCUACAUCCUGCCUUUAAAGAGUAAACACACACCUUCCUCUGUCCCUGCAGGCUGGCUGGAAUUUGGGCAUGACAGAGAGCCCCCUUGAGCUGUGGAGCAAAGGGAAAUGCACUAACAGGGCACAGCAGUAAGACAGAAGGGGUCUGGCCCGUGAUGCCGUGAGGCUGCUGCCCAGCCCUGCACUGUUUGCCCCAGCUGUUUACCUGGGGAGAUAAUUACGGUUCUACCUAGGCAAGGAUUUGGUACCUUGGGUCUCUGGUUCAGCAGUCCAAGCUAAAUACUAUACAAUGCUCAGAAUGUUUGCGCAUUCAGGGAUGGUAACAGGCUCAGAGCCUUCCUACGAUACCCCAGGCCAAGACUCUUCGUGUCUCCUUGUUACAGGAAAGGGGUCCCGAUCCAGACCCCAAGAGAGGGUUCUUGGAUCUCAUGCAAGAAAGAAUUCAGGGCCAGUCUGCAGUGCAAAGUGAAGGCAAGUUUAUUAAGAAAGUAAAGGAAUAAAAGAAUGGCUACUCCAUAGACAGAGCAGCCCUGAGGGCUGCUGUUUGCCCAUUUUUAUAGUUAUUUCUUGAUGACAUGCUAAACAAGGGGUGGAUAAUUCAUGCCUUCCCUUUUUAGACCAUAUAGGGUAACUUCCUGAUGUUGCCAUGGCAUUUGUAAACUGUCAUGGUACUGGUGGGAGUGUAGCAGUGAGGAGGACCAGA